rnacentral:misc_RNA from 1 species
AAGUCGUAACAAGGUUUCCGUAGGUGAACCUGCGGAAGGAUCAUUAACACGUAUCCAACGUUAAACCCCCCUGUGAACUUUUAGCUUGCUCUCGUAGCCCGCCAGAUACUGCAAUCCCUGGUAAAUCAUUGUUGACCAGUUUUGAUUCAGGGACCUCAGUUCUGGUGAGAAGUUACAGUUACGAUUGAGCGAUCGUUGCAAGUGGCCUGGUUUCCCCAAACAAUUAGUGUCUAACAGUGUCACUGAUUGCGUAAGGAUAACGCCUCACGGUUGCUAGAGGUCGAUCACCGACCGGCAGACAUGUCACAGGGUCCCCAUGCCCCUUACCUCACCCCAUUACUAAUGACUAGCUUAGCGGUAACGCGCUGAGUAAAAAAAAACCGAACAACUGUUAACAAUGGAUAUCUUGGUUCUC